GGGAUUUUAGUUCAAUUGGUAGAACAUACGCUUUGCAUGUGUAUAAUAUCGGUUCAAUUCCGAUAAAUUCCA
rnacentral:tRNA from 1 species